rnacentral:rRNA from 1 species
GAUGAACGCUGGCGGCGUGCCUAAUACAUGCAAGUCGAGCGAACAGACGAGGAGCUUGCUCCUCUGACGUUAGCGGCGGACGGGUGAGUAACACGUGGAUAACCUACCUAUAAGACUGGGAUAACUUCGGGAAACCGGAGCUAAUACCGGAUAAUAUAUUGAACCGCAUGGUUCAAUAGUGAAAGACGGUUUUGCUGUCACUUAUAGAUGGAUCCGCGCCGCAUUAGCUAGUUGGUAAGGUAACGGCUUACCAAGGCGACGAUGCGUAGCCGAACUGAGAGGGUGAUCGGCGACACUGGAACUGAGACACGGUCCAGACUCCUACGGGAGGCAGCAGUAGGGAAUCUUCCGCAAUGGGCGAAAGCCUGACGGAGCAACGCCGCGUGAGUGAUGAAGGUCUUCGGAUCGUAAAACUCUGUUAUUAGGGAAGAACAAAUGUGUAAGUAACUAUGCACGUCUUGACGGUACCUAAUCAGAAAGCCACGGCUAACUACGUG